rnacentral:pre_miRNA from 1 species
UAUUAAAAAUUUCAUCCAUCUUAUUGUUAAACACUAACGUGACUAAUAGAAUAAUUAAAUAGAGCCAUGUGUACCUCAUGCUAAUGUAUAUAUAUCAGGUUUUAAUAGAAAAAUGGAUGAAAUUUUUAAUA